rnacentral:rRNA from 1 species
GUCUACGGCCAUGCCACCCUGAACAAGCCCGAUCCUGUCUGAUCUCGGAAGCUGUAGGGUCGGUCCUGAUUAGUACUUGGAUGGGAGACCAUCUAGGAAGACCAGGUGCUGUAGGCA